UCUAAUGUGGCAGAAUAGUGCAAUGAAUUUAAGAUUCAUAUAUAAAGAAUUAUCUUUCAUUAGAA
rnacentral:tRNA from 1 species